rnacentral:rRNA from 1 species
CAUCUUCAACUGCUGAGUCUACAUGCAGUCGAGCGAACGAGAACGCAGAGCUUGCUCCCGGAUGUUAGCGGCGGACUGUAUAUUAACACGUGGGUAACCUGCCUGUAAGACUGGGAUAACUCCGGGAAACCGGAGCUAAUACCGGAUAGUUCCUUGAACCGCAUGGUUCAAGGAUGAAAGACGGUUUCGGCUGUCACUUACAGAUGGACCCGCGGCGCAUUAGCUAGUUGGUGGGGUAAUGGCUCACCAAGGCGACGAUGCGUAGCCGACCUGAGAGGGUGAUCGGCCACACUGGGACUGAGACACGGCCCAGACUCCUACGGGAGGCAGCAGUAGGGAAUCUUCCGCAAUGGACGAAAGUCUGACGGAGCAACGCCGCGUGAGUGAUGAAGGUUUUCGGAUCGUAAAGCUCUGUUGUUAGGGAAGAACAAGUGCGAGAGUAACUGCUCGCACCUUGACGGUACCUAACCAGAAAGCCACGGCUAACUACGUGCCAGCAGCCGCGGUAAUACGUAGGUGGCAAGCGUUGUCCGGAAUUAUUGGGCGUAAAGGGCUCGCAGGCGGUUUCUUAAGUCUGAUGUGAAAGCCCCCGGCUCAACCGGGGAGGGUCAUUGGAAACUGGGAAACUUGAGUGCAGAAGAGGAGAGUGGAAUUCCACGUGUAGCGGUGAAAUGCGUAGAGAUGUGGAGGAACACCAGUGGCGAAGGCGACUCUCUGGUCUGUAACUGACGCUGAGGAGCGAAAGCGUGGGGAGCGAACAGGAUUAGAUACCCUGGUAGUCCACGCCGUAAACGAUGAGUGCUAAGUGUUAGGGGGUUUCCGCCCCUUAGUGCUGCAGCUAACGCAUUAAGCACUCCGCCUGGGGAGUACGGUCGCAAGACUGAAACUCAAAGGAAUUGACGGGGGCCCGCACAAGCGGUGGAGCAUGUGGUUUAAUUCGAAGCAACGCGAAGAACCUUACCAGGUCUUGACAUCCUCUGACAACCCUAGAGAUAGGGCUUUCCCUUCGGGGACAGAGUGACAGGUGGUGCAUGGUUGUCGUCAGCUCGUGUCGUGAGAUGUUGGGUUAAGUCCCGCAACGAG